UUAAUACUCCCUCCGUUCGGAAAUACUCGUCAUUGAAAUGGAUGUAUCUAGAUGUAUUUUAGUUCUAGAUACAUCCAUUUUGGUGACAAGUAAUUCCGAACGGAGGGAGUAGAUA
rnacentral:pre_miRNA from 1 species